GAAAUAAAUUUAAUUUAAUUUUAAAAUGUAAUUUCUUUCUUUUUUAAGUUGUUAUUUUUUAAAUUAAAAAUUAUUGGGGAUAAGCUCAGUUUUUCUUUUAUAACUCUUUUUGUUUAAAUUGUAGUAGGAUUAUAAUCUUCCAUCUGGUUUAUUACGUUAUAGUAUAAAUUUUCAUUUUAUGAUUUAUUUUUAGUUUAAUUAUUUAUUGAAAUAUUUUAAUUAACCUUUAAUUAUGACUAAUAAUGAUUAAAUUAGUAUAUAUUGUUGUUUUUUAUUCAUUUUCUGUUACUUAUUAGUAAGGAACUCGGCAAUUAUAAUGUUCGCCUGUUUAUCAAAAACAUGUCCUCUUGGUUUAAUUUGAGGUCAGACCUGCCCAGUGAAUUCGAAUUUUAACGGCCGCGGUAUUUUGACYGURCAAAGGUAGCAUAAUCAUUAGUCUUUUAAUAGAAGGCUGGAAUGAAGGGUUGAACGAAACAUUAACUGUCUCAUUUUUAUAUCUUGAAUUUAAUUUUUGAGCUAAAAAGCUUAAAUUCUAUUGGAGGACGAGAAGACCCUAUAGAGCUUUAUAUGUUAAUAUUUUAUAUUGUUUUGAUUUAUAUAUUAUUAUAAAUUAUUAAUUUAUUUUGUUGGGGUGACAAAAACACGUAAUAAACCUUUUUAUUUUAUUUACAUAAAUGUGUGAGUACUUGAUCCAUUAUUAUUGAUAGUUAGAUUAAGUUACCUUAGGGAUAACAGCGUAAUAU
rnacentral:rRNA from 1 species